rnacentral:tRNA from 1 species
CAUUCAAGGAGGCAACGGGGAUUCGACUUCCCCUGGGGGUA